UAUGUAGUUGUGUACAGGGGCGUAGCACACAAUUCCGGGCCCUGUAGAAAGGCAUUUUCUGUGGGCCCCUCCCCGCAUCCACAGCUAUUCAUUCUAGCAUCUUUUUGGGC